AGGAUGAGAAUGCGCUGACAUAGUGAGGAGACGUCUGGGCGUCACAUUCUACAGACAGAAGUUUUAGCUGGACCAGGCGUUACAUGCCAUUCCGGCGUGGGGAGCCUGCAGCAGCCUGGAAGCAUUACAAGCGGUCUCCGUAAUACCCUCUGAGCGUGUGCCUCGUUCUUGCACAGCGAGUAAAGUGAUGUGGGGAAAUCACAGGAACCUAGUAGAAGUGGAGACCAGCGGGUAACAUGUGUCAGCGCAGCAGCUUUGGGAGACCAGAAGAGUUGUAUCCGGCAAAGACAAUUCUCACGGAUAUAAAAAGCCUGGAUGUCAGAGUGAUACAGCACUGAUACAUUGUAACAAAAACAUUUCUGAUGAUAAUGUGUUUAGCUCACAGAGGAAUUCUCAGACAGGAGACAAUUGCAACAACCCCUCAGCUGUGAGAGCAUUUGGUCUGUCUCUGGCUAGAAAUAAGAUUGUUGCUGACAACAAGCAGAGAUCUUGACAACAAUGAGGAAUCAAAAUGCCAAGAUCACUAGAAAGCUGCACAAUGGUUCAUCAUACAAUGACGACACUGGCCUUGGACUAAUAAAACACAAUGGGGGCACGCUAUCAUUGUAUGUAGACUACGGUGGAUAUGUAAUGUUGGUUUUACCCCGUUUUUGUGAUUUGAUUUGCCUCCACAAUUUGUCACAGUUGCUCUUUAGAGACUUUUCAAUUGCCACUUUUGCUUUAGAAACUUUUUCUAAAAUUUUGUAGCUAUGCCCUAAUCAGGGGGUAAACAAUGGCGCA